rnacentral:rRNA from 1 species
AAUGAACGUUGGCGGCGUGGAUUAGGCAUGCAAGUCGAGCGUACCCAGCAAUGGGGAAGCGGCAAACGGGGUAGUAAGGCGUCGGUACGUGCCUCCUGGACGGGGACAGCCACGGGAAACUGUGGGUAAUACCCGAUGACAUCGCGAGAUCAAAGGUGUGAUUCCGCCGGGAGAGCGGCUGACGUGGUAUUAGGUAGUUGGUAAGGUAAUGGCUUACCAAGCCUGGGAUGCCUAGGGGGUGUGAGAGCAUGGCCCCCACCAUUGGGACUGAGACACUGCCCAGACACCUACGGGUGGCUGCAGUCGAGGAUCUUCGGCAAUGGGCGCAAGCCUGACCGAGCGACGCCGCGUGCGGGAUGAAGGCCCUCGGGUUGUAAACCGCUGUCAGGGGGGAUGAAGUGCAUCGGGGUUCUCCCCGGUGUUUGACAGAGCCCCAGAGGAAGCGCGGGCUAAGUUCGUGCCAGCCGCCGCCGUAACAC